rnacentral:rRNA from 1 species
ACUCCUACGGGAGGCAGCAGUGGGAAUAUUGCACAAUGGGGAAGCCCAUCGAUGCAGCCAUGCCGCGCUGUGUGAAGAAGGCCAAUUCGGGCUUGGUAAAGACACUUUUCAGUAGGGAGGAAGGUAGUGUAGUUAACACCUGCACUAUUUGACGUUAGCUGCAGAAGAAGCACCGGCUAACUCCGUGCCAGCAGCCGCGGUAAUACGGAGGGUGCGAGCGUUAAUCGGAAUUACUGGGCGUAAAGCGCAUGCAGGUGGUUUGUUAAGUCAGAUGUGAAAGCCC